rnacentral:rRNA from 1 species
CAGCAGCCACGGUAAUACAGAGGUCUCAAGCGUUGUUCGGAUUCAUUGGGCGUAAAGGGUGCGUAGGUGGCGGUGUAAGUCUAACGUGAAAUCUCGGGGCUCAACCUCGAAAUUGCGUCGGAUACUGCAUUGCUAGAGGAUUGUAGAGGAGAGUGGAAUUCAUGGUGUAGCAGUGAAAUGCGUAGAUAUCAUGAGGAAGACCAGUUGCGAAGGCGACUCUCUGGGCAAUUCCUGACACUGAGGCACGAAGGCUAGGGGAGCAAACGGGAUUAGAGACCCCCGUAGUCCCUGUCUCUUAUAC